rnacentral:rRNA from 1 species
AUGAACGCUGGCGGCGUGCCUAAUACCUGCAAGUCGCGCGAACAGACGAGGAGCUUGCUCCUCUGACGUUAGCGGCGGACGGGUGAGUAACACGUGGAUAACCUACCUAUAAGACUGGGAUAACUUCGGGAAACCGGAGCUAAUACCGGAUAACAUGUUGAACCGCAUGGUUCAACAGUGAAAGACGGUCUUGCUGUCACUUAUAGAUGGAUCCGCGCCGCAUUAGCUAGUUGGUAAGGUAACGGCUUACCAAGGCAACGAUGCGUAGCCGACCUGAGAGGGUGAUCGGCCACACUGGAACUGAGACACGGUCCAGACUCCUACGGGAGGCAGCAGUAGGGAAUCUUCCGCAAUGGGCGAAAUCCUGACGGAGCAACGCCGCGUGAGUGAAGAAGGUCUUCGGAUCGUAAAACUCUGUUAUUAGGGAAGAACAAAUGUGUAAGUAACUAUGCACGUCUUGACGGUACCUAAUCAGAAAGCCACGGCUAACUACGUG